rnacentral:lncRNA from 1 species
CCACAUCUGACCCAAGUCCUAAAACAUUACUGGCCCAAAAUAGCCCAAACCCGUUAUACACACACCCAAACAAACUUGUUACACUCUACCUAGCCCAGGACUAAACCAAACCCAAAUAACAGAGGCCCACAACUUAAAAUUACCAGCUAGGGUUUCCAACCCUAGCUCUUUCUCCUCGCGCCGCAAACAGAAACUUCCAGAAGCCAUCCCAACGGACGCGUCUGCUCAUCUCUCACGUUGUUCCAGUGACCCUCCAUCAGCGCCGUGACUCUGCCUCCGUAAUCAGCGCGCGAAUCCACACCAGCACAUUCACUGCCAAAUUCUUCGAUGAUACCUGCAAAAGAAGGAAAGAACCACAACAGCAAACAAAACAAAUAUGGAAGGAAAGAUUUCUUUCCAAAAAUAUGUAAUAACAAUAGUGGCUAUAAAGCCCGAAUGCUUUCAUUGUACAAGGGACUGCAGAUUUUUACAGAAAUAAAUACACACGGAGAUUUCACACAGAAGAAACAGGAAAUGGAUUUUAUUUUAGAAGGUGAUUUUUUUUAUUUACGUUUCUUUUCUCUUUUCAUAGGAAUAUACAAAUUGUUUUUAAAAAAACUAGUAGCAUUCGAAAGAAAAGAGGAGUUACCUGUGGAAGGAUGACGGUUUUAGACCCUCAGACCACCGUGAACGACGGCGCGUGGGCGCGUGUAGGACCAAUGACCGAAGCGUGGCCUACGGAGGCUAGAGCCCGGAGCUCCUCUCCUCUCCCCUCUUUCAGAGGAAAUUUUUAAGUUUUUUUU